UACGAAGGUGGCUAGCGUUAUUCGGAAUCACUGGGCGUAAAGCGCGUGUAGGCGGUGCGAUCAGUCAGAGGUGAAAUCCUAGGGCUUAACCCUGGAACUGCCUUUGAAACUAUCGUGCUAGAAUCGUACAGAGGAGUGUGGAAUUCCUAGUGUAGGAGUGAAAUCCGUAGAUAUUAGGAGGAACACAAGUGGCGAAGGCGGCACUCUGGGUACGUAUUGACGCUGAGACGCGAAAGCGUGGGGAGCAAACAGG
rnacentral:rRNA from 1 species